rnacentral:tRNA from 1 species
UGACCCGUAGUCGAAUUGGCAAGACGUCAGGUUCUGGCCCUGAAGGCUCUAGGUUCGAGUCCUAGCGGGUCAACCA